GUUACUUUACUUAUCCCUUUUUUUCUCUCUUACUAAUUUUUGGGUUUUUCUUUUUGUAUGAUUUGAUCAGGAAUCAAAGAGAGCAUCUGGGACAAUCAAAAAAAGGAACUGCUAGAGAAGGAAUGCUGUAGAGGUUUGCCUAAAAAAUAAAAAAAAAUUGCUGAAAAAAUUUCCUUUGGUCGCAUUUGCAGCUGAACCCGUGUCCACGUCACCCUUUAAGUAUUUAGAGAUCAAGCUUCCACUCUCCCUCUCAUGUCCAAAGAACAGAACAAACAUCUCCCCCACUCAAAUAAUCCCAACUGAAUCCACAUGUUAAUUCCCCUGCUUUACAUCUCGUGCAUGCUCUUCCCUUCCGCAUUUUUCUCAUCUUCCACUUCUUCCACGCGUCGGGCUCAUCACAUCCUCCCAACCGUGAUCUUCUCCCGUUCGGAUCAGCACCCCAUUUCUUCCGAACGCCCACGGAUAAGCCCAAGCUACCUAUCCCGUGUCCACAAAUCAAGCCUCCACAGCCUUAUCUUCCCAGCCGAAUCUAUCACUUCAUCCCAAUCCUCCUCUUCCGGCUUGAUUCCAAAGAUCCCCUUAUCCACGGAUUCAUCCCAACAUCUUCCGGAUUAGCAUCCUAGCUAUGAGCAUCGCCUGUUCUUCCUUCACGAAUCUGAACCAAAUGCACAGCAUCUACCGUAUCCAACUUCUUCCAGCAUCCUCUUCCUUCGGAACAGAGUAUCAGCCUAUCCACUUGAUCCUCUUCUUCCCAGAUUGCUUCCCAGCAUCCCACGGUCAGCCAUCGUCCGGAUUAAUCCCAGCAUAUCCAUGGAUAAACUCCGAACUGAUUUAUCUCCCAGAUUUUCUCUGCGGAAUCAUCCAAGCUCCCAUCCGCAAUCACCUCCCAGCUUCUUCCAAAUCCCCUGCAUCCUCCGCAUUCCCUCCGUGACGUGUUCCCAAACUUUCCCGAACUUAUCCUCCCAAGAUAAAUCCUAUCCAACUUUCAGAACCAUUACUCUCCCAGCUUGAUCCCAAGGAAUCUCCCAACGACCCAGCUAUUCCGCUCCACAAGUUCAUGCGUGCUUCCCGAGUUGGCCACGUCCUGCAUCUUUCCCUGUUUCAGAUCCACUCCCAACCGCAUCUCGACCGGAUCAGCUCCAUCCAGCAGCAUCAGUUUCUUCCGGAUUCUCCCCAGCGGAACAAGAGUUCAUCCACGAACAAGCUUCGAAGAUCUCAACAUCUCGUGCGCCCAAUCCUUCUUCCGCAUGCAUUCCACGUCAUUGUAUCCCGUCCGAAUCCAAAGAACAGAGUCUUCUCACAUAUCAAGUCCCUUUUAUGGCGCGAUUCAUCCUCAUCCUCUUGUUCAACGUGUUCACAACCGCUCUCGGAUCAAUUCGAAUCCAGCUUCACAUCCAAGGAUCGAGAGUUAUCUGCCUUCCAUCCUUAUCUUGCAACAGGGGAGGAGAGGGGAGGAGUGCAGCCUAUAAAAGGUCCAGACGAGAAACAGGGGGAUCAACUUCUCUUUGGCAAGCUAUUCGGAAGGAGGGAGCCGGCUGGUCCCAAGCGGAGCUCACAGGCAAAAUCCCACAGAA